UACGAAGGGGGCUAGCGUUGUUCGGAAUCACUGGGCGUAAAGCGCACGCAGGCGGAUUGAUAAGUCAGGGGUGAAAUCCCGAGGCUCAACCUCGGAAUUGCCUUUGAUACUGCAAGUCUCGAGUCCGAUAGAGGUGAGUGGAAUUCCUAGUGUAGAGGUGAAAUUCGUAGAUAUCGGGAGGAACACCAGUGGCGAAGGCGGCGACCUGGGCCAAUAUUGACGCUGAGGUGCGAAAGCGUGGGGAGCAAACAGG
rnacentral:rRNA from 1 species